rnacentral:rRNA from 1 species
CCUACGGGAGGCAGCAGUGAGGAAUAUUGCGCAAUGGGCGAAAGCCUGACGCAGCGACGCCGCGUGGGCGACGAAGGCCUUCGGAUUGUAAACCCCUUUCGACCGGAACGAAUCCCCUCCUGGUGAACAAUCAGGAGGAUCGACGGUACCGGGAGAAGAAGCCACGGCUAACUCUGUGCCAGCAGCCGCGGUAAGACAGAGGUGGCAAGCGUUGUUCGGAUUUACUGGGCGUAAAGCGCACGCAGGCGGUUUGGUAAGUCAGAGGUAAAAGCCCACGGCUUAACCGUGGAAUUGCCUUUGAUACGGCCUUUCUCGAGGGCAGGAGGGGGAAGCGGAAUUCCCAGUGUAGAGGUGAAAUCCGUAGAUAUUGGGAGGACCACCGGUGGCGAAGGCGGCUUCCUGGCCUGUAACUGACGCUCAUGGGCGAAAGCGUGGGGAGCAAACAGGAUUAGAUACCCCUGUAGU